AAAACGUAUCUUAGCGCCUCAUUUUAUAUUUUGAUAACAUAUUUUAGCGCCUCAUUUUAUAUUUUGAUAUCAUAUUUUACCGCCUUAUUUUAACAUUACUUAAAUUACCAUUUCUCUCGAUAAUUUUCGAGAUCAGCGCUUCCUCCCUCUUCUAUGACUUAUAGUAUUGUCAUGAUGUGAGAAUAAAUACACUGAUUUUCGAGUAAUUUCAGUAUAUUUCUUUUGUUUGUCAACUGUUAAGUUAUAGUUAAAACUUAAGUGCAAAAAUUGUUUUACAAUUAGAGUUAAAUAUACUUCGAAAACAACCAAUAGUCGAAAAAAGUUUUUUAGUUUAAAAAAGUUUAAAAUUUUACACAAUUAUGUUUAUGUUAUUAUAUUAUAAUUGGUACUAUUACUAUUUGUACAGUAUUUGAUAUCGAUACAAAGAAAGAAAAUGAAUUAAAUGCUAACGAUUUCUCUACUUCUCGGGAUAGUGAUGAUGAACUCUUGUUUGAUGUUGCUGAAAAGAUCGAUCCGAAGGAAACCGAAAAUAUUACUGUUUAUCCAAGCUGUGUAAAUAGUGAAUUGAUUGGAUUGGGGAUCGAGUAUUUAAAUAAACUAAAACAAUCAAACAUAAAAAGUGAUUGUGUGAAGACUUCAAGUUCAGAAUUGAUUGAAUCAGCUUUUUCGGGCAAUAUAAAUGUAUACAGAAUUGAAAAUAUAGAUCCGUUUACUAUCAGCGAGUUCAUUGAGCGACAUGCAUUUGAUAUUACAAAUGUGUGGGAAAAAUCAAUCAAGAAAA